UCAGUGGUGAAAUCCUGCCGCUUAACGGUAGAAUUGCCAUUGAUACUGAGAAGCUUGAGUACAUUUGAGGUAAGCGGAAUGUGUAGUGUAGCGGUGAAAUGCUUAGAUAUUACACAGAACACCAAUUGCGAAGGCAGCUUACUAAACUGAUACUGACGCUGAUGCACGAAAGCGUGGGGAGCGAACAGGAUUAGAUACCCUGGUAGUCCACGCCGUAAACGAUGUUCACUCGCUGUUUGCGAUACACAGCAAGCGGCCAAGCGAAAGCAUUAAGUGAACCACCUGGGGAGUACGAUCGCAAGGUUGAAACUCAAAGGAAUUGACGGGGGCCCGCACAAGCGGAGGAACAUGUGGUUUAAUUCGAUGAUACGCGAGGAACCUUACCUGGGCUUAAAUGUAGAGCGACAGAUUGUGAAAGCAGUCCUUCUUCGGACGAUCUACAAGGUGCUGCAUGGUUGUCGUCAGCUCGUGCCGUGAGGUGUCGGGUUAAGUCCCAUAACGAGCGCAACCCUUAUCGUUAGUUGCCAGCGGGUCAAGCCGGAGACUCUAGCGAGACUGCCACCGUAAGGUGUGAGGAAGGUGGGGAUGACGUCAAAUCAGCACGGCCCUUAUGUCCAGGGCUACACACGUGUUACAAUGGCCAAUACAAAGGGCAGCUACCGGGUGACCGGAUGCUAAUCUCCAAAGUUGGUCUCAGUUCGGAUCGAAGUCUGCAACCCGAC
rnacentral:rRNA from 1 species